ACAAAUCAAAUCCAAUCUGGUCCAACAACACCAACUCACCGCACCAAACCUUUUUUGUAUUCCUUUUUUCCUGGUCUCUCUCCGUUUGUUCAUUGGUUCUUCCUCAUCGUCUUCGUUUUUCAACAUCCAUCUCUGCAACCCUUUAUCAUUUUCAGACGUGAUUUAUGCUUUCAAAACCUGGGUCUUCGUCAAAAUCUCAUCUUGGGGGUGCAUGUCACCCUGCUGAGUGCUGACGCAUACAUUUUCUAA